rnacentral:misc_RNA from 1 species
AAGUCGUAACAAGGUAUCCGUAGGUGAACCUGCGGAUGGAUCAUUAACGUUCUAUUUGACAUAGAUAAACGUAAAAGAAAAAAGUAUUAAUACUAACUAACGUUAGUAUUGAUAUCUUUCUCUCUUAUCUUUCUUCUAUUCAAAUAACAUAAACGUACACCCUUGUGGUGAAUAUAGGAACUAGAGUGUGAUUCUAGUGAAAGUGUAAUAGAGAGUAGAGAUGGCCGUGUAAUACAAUCUAAUCAUUGUAUUAUAAUGCCAUUAAUAUUCUCUGUCUGCAUCUAGCUAGAAUUGCUUCUGUCUAUUAUAUAAACGCAAUUCUAUUUCAUUUAUUAAGACUAAAGUUUACCUUGUGGAUCAGUAACAUGAUUACCAAGUAAAACAAUUAAUAAAUCUAAUACAACUGCUAGCAACGGAUCACUCGGCUCUC